GGGCGCUGCAGGAUUUCAGUCCUUCACGUCGUAGUGUGUUACCAACUGUUUUCUUGGUGACUAUGGUCCCAGCUGCCUUGAGAUUAUUGACAAGAUCCUCCCGUGCAGUUCUGGGCUGAUUCCUCACCGUUCUCAUCAUUGCAACUCCACGAGGCCAAGCCGGCUUGAGCUGCUCUACCGCUCUUGUUCUCAGAAGCUACCUGCCCACAACGCAAGGGGAAACCCGGGAGAUCCGGAGGAAAAUCCACGCGACCACGGAGAGAGAGACACGCAAACUCCAAAUAUACAGCAGCAGGCGUCAGGGCGGGAUCGAACCCACGACUUCCUGCAUACCAGAAUUGGUCUAAUGGAGCAAAGGCAGUCAGCACAGCUCGGUACGGCAAGGCAACAAUGCGACCAGAGUGCAUACAGCACGGAUCGCACUGGAAAUUUGACACAGCACCAGAGAACACACACAGGAGAGAAACCCUUCAAGUGCAGUGUGUGGGAAGGCAUUUUCACAGUCAUAUCAUCUUGAAAAUCACCAGAGAACACACACAGGAGAGAAACCCUUCAGGUGCUUUCUGUGCGGGAAAACGUUUGCAAAGUCACAAACUCUUCAAAGACACCAGAGAACACA